rnacentral:lncRNA from 1 species
CAAUUUUUCUAAUCUGAUAAAUUGAAGCAAACCUAUAUGUGUGAUUAUUUCAGUCAGUCGCUUAAUUAUGUUUGUAACUCUGGGCCACUUUGGUUUCUAAUGGGUCAAUUAAAAAAAUAAUUUGUUCGUAUGCUAUGUUACACCAUAUGGUAGACGGCAGUUCGCGUAAGCCAGCCGAUAUUUCUCUUCAUUAACAAAUCAAAUUGUAGGUUCUUGGAAACAUAUGAGAAAGACUGCAUGAGCCUUCCUACUACCCUUUCACUAUUCUUUGGCUGGCAACCUCCUCUCAUAGCUGCUUCCCAGUACACUCCAGAUAACGACCGACUUGUCUACUUGUGAUUUUUAAAAGAAAAUCAAUUUUUUAUCCAUUUGGUUACAACUAUUCAAUGUGGCUCGGUUUUGACAUUGGCCCCACUCAUCGUGUCUCUUUUUUUAAUCAGCAACUUUCCAGCAACGACGUGACCAGUCUCUUGAAUCAUUUUCGUGUUUCCUCCAAGUUCCCACUUAUGCACUCACACCCAUUUAUUACUCUUACCAUUGAUCACAAUCAUUCAACAAACUAAAAAAGUGCGUCAACAUUUUCAUAAACCUCAUAAUCAUAUUGGUGGUAGAACUGGUUAAUUAUAUGGUUUGGGUCCUACUCUCUCCUUGACCCAUGCGCAAUCUUCCAACCUCAUCCAUGCUGUAACGCAAACUCAAUAGGUCCUCUUCUUUUUCUUUUGAUUUUGAGUUCUUGUUCUUU